CACGUAGGGGGCGAGCGUUGUCCGGAAUCAUUGGGCGUAAAGAGCUCGUAGGCGGCUCAGUAAGUCGGGUGUGAAACCCCCAGGCUCAACCUGGGGACGCCACUCGAUACUGCUGUGGCUAGAGUCCAGUAGAGGAGUGUGGAAUUCCCGGUGUAGCGGUGAAAUGCGCAGAUAUCGGGAGGAACACCAACGGCGAAGGCAGCUCGCCUGGAACGGUACUGACGCUGAGGCGCGAAAGCGUGGGGA
rnacentral:rRNA from 1 species